GGAGAGGUGCUGGAGUGGUCGAUCAGGCACGUCUGGAGAACGUGUGAGCGCAAGCUCCGUGGGUUCGAAUCCCACCCUCUCCGCCA
rnacentral:tRNA from 1 species